rnacentral:rRNA from 1 species
AAGGGAUAGGGAACAGAUGGGCUUAUGGUGCAUUAGCUAGUUGGAGGGGUAACGGCCUACCAAGGCGACGAUGCAUAGCCGGCCUGAGAGGGUGAACGGCCACACUGGGACUGAGACACGGCCCAGACUCCUACGGGAGGCAGCAGUAGGGAAUUUUCGGCAAUGGGGGGAACCCUGACCGAGCAACGCCGCGUGAAGGAAGAAGGCCUUCGGGUUGUAAACUUCUGUUAUAAAGGAAGAACGACUAAUACAGGGAAUGGUAUUAGAGUGACGGUACUUUGUGAGGAAGCCACGGCUAACUACGUGCCAGCAGCCGCGGUAAUACGUAGGUGGCAAGCGUUAUCCGGAAUUAUUGGGCGUAAAGAGGGAGCAGGCGGCAAUGGAGGUCUGUGGUAAAAGGCUGAAGCUUAACUUCAGUAAGCCAUGGAAACCAAAUAGCUAGAGUGCAGAAGAGGAUCGUGGAAUUCCAUGUGUAGCGGUGAAAUGCGUAGAUAUAUGGAGGAACACCAGUGGCGAAGGCGACGAUCUG